rnacentral:rRNA from 1 species
AUGAGACCUUGGAGGACUGAAGUGGAGAAGGGUUUCGUGUGAACAGUGGUUGAUCACGAGUUAGUCGGUCCUAAGUUCAAGGCGAAAGCUGAAAAUUUUCAAGUUAUAAUUGACAAUUGCAAAAUUGUGUGAUUAAACACUUGAAUAAUUUUGAACGAAAGGGAAUACGGUUCCAAUUCCGUAACCUGUUGAGUAUCCGUUUGUUAUUAAAUAUGGGCCUUGUGCUCAUCCUGGCAACAGGAACGACCAUAAAGAAGCCGUCGAGAGG